UUGCACAUCCACCGCCUUGGGUACCAGCAUCCUGAAUUUGACCGAUGGCUCCUUAAUCCCUUUCAUCAACAUGAGGGGCUCGUACAGGAAACACCCCUCCUGCUUCCACAGGGGAUACUGUUUGGGGAAUGCUUCCACGUACCUGUCUACUUUCUGAAUAUUUAACAAAUAAUUGUAGACGUUUAUCAUGUUUGGUCCGGCCUCGGAAUUGGGCAAGGCAUAGAUCUGAAACUUAAAGAAGCCCGUCCUUGGAACAGCUAUAGUGAAGUGAAACUCGCUCCCUUGGACCUGUGUGAGAACAAACUGGUUACACUCCCCCUUUGGAUCCACGCCCAAGAGUUUGGUGGUGAAUCUGGUUUUCUCGGUGGUUCCUAUCACGAUUUCCACCUGGUUGGUGUCCGAGUGGAUGACGGGUUCUGGAUGGGACAAGGUCGUCAGUCCGUAGGAGUAAAACUUGGCCUGUGGGCCGAGAUACCCCUCUGUCAGCCUGGGAAGCUCUACUUGUGCCAUAUUGUCCACUCAAUGCAAAUCCUGUUCACUCGUUUAAUAAAAAUAAAAUACACAC
rnacentral:sRNA from 1 species